rnacentral:rRNA from 1 species
ACUGCCGGUGACAAACCGGAGGAAGGUGGGGAUGACGUCAAGUCCUCAUGGCCCUUAUAGGUGGGGCUACACACGUCAUACAAUGGCCGGUACAGAGGGUAGCCAACCCGCGAGGGGGAGCCAAUCCCACAAAGCCGGUCGUAGUCCGGAUCGCAGUCUGCAACUCGACUGCGUGAAGUCGGAAUCGCUAGUAAUCGCGGAUCAGCAUGUCGCGGUGAAUACGUUCCCGGGUCUU